GACGUAGGGCGCGAGCGUUGUCCGGAUUUAUUGGGCGUAAAGAGCUCGUAGGCGGUCUGUCGCGUCGAUCGUGAAACUUGGGGCUUAACCCUGAGCUUGCGGUCGAUACGGGCAUGACUGGAGUUCGGCAGGGGAGACUGGAAUUCCUGGUGUAGCGGUGAAAUGCGCAGAUAUCAGGAGGAACACCGGUGGCGAAGGCGGGUCUCUUGGGCCGAUACUGACGCUGAGGAGCGAAAGCGUGGGGAGCGAACAGG
rnacentral:rRNA from 1 species